rnacentral:rRNA from 1 species
GCACGGGCAGCAAUGUCAGUGGCGGACGGGUGAGUAACGCGUAGGAACAUGUCCAGAGGUGGGGGACAACUCCGGGAAACUGGAGCUAAUACCGCAUAUGUGCUGAGGCACAAAGCAGCGAUGCGCCUUUGGAGUGGCCUGCGUCCGAUUAGCUUGUUGGUGGGGUAAAAGCCUACCAAGGCCGCGAUCGGUAGCUGGUCUGAGAGGACGACCAGCCACACUGGGACUGAGACACGGCCCAG